UACAGAGGCCCCAAGCGUUACUGAGAAUCACUGGGUUUAAAGGGUGCGUAGGUGGUCCGUUAAGUUCGUUGUGAAAGCCCUGGGCUCAACCCAGGAACUGCUUCGAAUACUGGCGGACUUGAGGCUAGUAGGGGUCACUGGAACUGACGGUGGAGCGGUGAAAUGCGUAGAUAUCGUCAGGAACGCCAAUGGUGAAGACAGGUGACUGGGCUAGUUCUGACACUGAGGCACGAAAGCGUGGGGAGCGAACGGG
rnacentral:rRNA from 1 species